rnacentral:rRNA from 1 species
UUCGUAGGUGGUGCGGCAAGUUGGAAGUGAAAUCUCUGGGCUUAACCCAGAGGCUGCUUUCAAAACUGCCGCGCUCGAGUGCGAGAGAGGUCAGUGGAAUUGCAGGUGUAGCGGUGAAAUGCGUAGAUAUCUGCAGGAACACCCGUGGCGAAGGCGGCUGACUGGAUCGCAACUGACACUGAGGAACGAAAGCUAGGGGAGCAAACAGGAUUAGAUACCCUGGUAGUCCUAGCCCUAAACCAUCAGAACUUGGGGUGGCCCGCGUAGGCGGGUCGUCCCGUAGCUAACGCGUUAAGUUCUGCGCCUGGGGAUACGGUCGCAAGACUGAA